ACCUGGGUGGCUCAGUCAGUUAAGCGUCUGACUUCAGCUCAGGUCAUAAUCUCACAGCUUGUGGGUUUGAGCCCCACAUCAGGCU
rnacentral:tRNA from 1 species